rnacentral:lncRNA from 1 species
CUUCCUUGUAGUAAUCCCCCCUCAGAACAACCUGUUGGUUCACUCUAUGUAAACAUCCUGUCUUAAAUUUCCCUCCAAGACUGGAAGGUUUUCAUUUCAUAAGAAAUUGCUACACAACAGGAGCUCAUUUGGAAAAGUGGAGGUGGAGUGGUAAUAUGACACUGAGAAAACUGAGGAUCACAGCAGGAAAUAAAGCCCUCAUCCAGUGGCUGAUGGAAGCAGAGGCAGACAUCCACAGAUACUCACUGAACUGAACUCUGGAACUUAGUUGCAGAGAGGGAGGAAUGAAGGGGGUUGGUACCAGGUUGGAGAAACCCACAGAAACAGUUGGCCUGAACAAGGGGGAGCACAUCGACCCCAGAUGCUGUCUGGGAGGCCAGUACAGGACUGAUCCAGACCCCUGAACAUGGAUGUCAAUGAGGAGGCCUCUGCACUCUAAGAGGCCACUGGUAGUGGAUUAGUAUUUUUCCCUGGUGUAAGAAGAGACUUUGAGAGCCCAUCCCACGUGAAGGGAUGCACUCUUGCCCUGGACACAUGGGGAAGGGCCUAGGCUCAGCCCAGGAUGAUGUGGUGGGCUUUACGGAGCCCUCAUUCC